GAUGAACGCUGGCGGCGUGCAUAACACAUUCAAGUCGAACGAAGCACUCAAGACGAUCCCUUCGGGGUGAAGCUUGAUUGACUUAGUGGCGGACGGGUGAGUAACGCGUGAGCAACCUGCCUUACAGUACGGGAUAACGUCCGGAAACAGACGCUAAUACCGUAUAAUGCAAUUGGGACGCAUGUUCCGAUUGCCAAAGAUUUAUUGCUGUAAGAUGGGCUCGCGUCUGAUUAGGUAGUUGGCGGGGGAACGGCCCGACCCAAGGCGACGAUCAGUAGCCGACCUGAGAGGGUGAUCGGCCACAUUGGAACUGAGAAACGGUCCAAACUCCUACGGGAGGCAGCAGUGGGGAAUAUUGGGCAAUGGGCGCAAGCCUGACCCAGCAACGCCGCGUGAAGGAAGAAGGUCUUCGGGUCGUAAACUUCGUAUCCUUGGUGAAGAUAAUGACGGUAGCC
rnacentral:rRNA from 1 species